rnacentral:rRNA from 1 species
UACGAGGGGUGCGAGCGUUGCUCGGAAUCAUUGGGCGUAAAGGGUAGGUAGGUGGUCUCAUUUGUCUGAGGUGAAAUCCUUGAGCUUAACUCAAGAACGGCCUUAGAAACGGUGAGACUAGAGUGCUAGAGGGGUUCGUGGAAUUCCCGGUGUAGCGGUGAAAUGCGUAGAGAUCGGGAGGAACACCAGAGGCGAAGGCGGCGAACUGGAUAGUAACUGACACUCAACUACGAAAGCGUGGGGAGCAAACAGG